AAUCUUCCACAAUGGGCGAAAGCCUGAUGGAGCCACGCUGCGUGAGUGAAGAAGGUUUUCGGAUCGUAAAACUCUGUUGUACGGGAAGAACAAGUACAGUAGUAACUGGCUGUACCUUGACGGUACCUUAUUAGACAGCCACGGCUAACUACGUGCCAGUAGCCGCGGUAAUACGUAGGUGGUAAGCGUUGUCCGGAAGUAUUGGGCGUAAAGCGCGCGCAGGCGGUCCUUUAAGUCUGAUGUGAAAGCCCACGGCUCAACCGUGGAGGGUGAUUGGAAACUGGGGGACUUGAGUGCAGAAGAGGAAAGUGGAAUUCCAAGUGUAGCGGUGAAAUGCGUAGAGAUUUGGAGGAACACCAGUGGCGAAGGCGACUUUCUGGUCUGUAACUGACGCUGAGGCGCGAAAGCGUGGGGAGCAAACA
rnacentral:rRNA from 1 species